rnacentral:rRNA from 1 species
GUCCACGCCGUAAACGAUGUCGACUAGCCGUUGGGAGCCUUGAGCUCUUAGUGGCGCAGCUAACGCAUUAAGUCGACCGCCUGGGGAGUACGGCCGCAAGGUUAAACUCAAAUGAAUUGACGGGGCCCGCACAAGCGGUGGAGCAUGUGGUUUAAUUCGAAGCAACGCGAAGAACCUUACCAGGCCUUGACAUGCAGAGAACUUUCCAGAGAUGGAUUGGUGCCUUCGGGAACUCUGACACAGGUGCUGCAUGGCUGUCGU